AUACGUAGGUGGCAAGCGUUAUCCGGAUUUACUGGGUGUAAAGGGCGCGUAGGCGGGGAUGCAAGUCAGAUGUGAAAUCUAUGGGCUUAACCCAUAAACUGCAUUUGAAACUGUAUCUCUUGAGUGUCGGAGAGGUAGAUGGAAUUCCUUGUGUAGCGGUGAAAUGCGUAGAUAUAAGGAAGAACACCAGUGGCGAAGGCGAUCUACUGGACGAUAACUGACGCUGAGGCGCGAAAGCGUGGGGAGCAAACAGGAUUAGAUACCCUGGUAGUCCACGCUGUAAACGAUGAAUACUAGGUGUGGGGGGACUGACCCCUUCCGUGCCGCAGUUAACACAAUAAGUAUUCCACCUGGGGAGUACGGCCGCAAGGCUGAAACUCAAAGGAAUUGACGGGG
rnacentral:rRNA from 1 species